rnacentral:rRNA from 1 species
UACGAAGGGGGCUAGCGUUGCUCGGAAUCACUGGGCGUAAAGGGUGCGUAGGCGGGUCUUUAAGUCAGGGGUGAAAUCCUGGAGCUCAACUCCAGAACUGCCUUUGAUACUGAAGAUCUUGAGUUCGGGAGAGGUGAGUGGAACUGCGAGUGUAGAGGUGAAAUUCGUAGAUAUUAGCUAGAACACCAGUGGCGAAGGCGGCCAACUGGUCCGGUACUGACGCUGAGGUGCGAAAGCGUGGGGAGCAAACGGG